rnacentral:tRNA from 1 species
AAUAGGUUGGCAGAUAAAUGCAAAUGAUUUAGGAUCAUUCAAUGAACAAUUUCACCUAUUA